rnacentral:rRNA from 1 species
GGCAGCAGCCGCGGUAACACCGGCGGCCCGAGUGGUGAUCGUGAUUAUUGGGUCUAAAGGGUCCGUAGCCGGUUUGGUCAGUCCUCCGGGAAAUCUGAUAGCUCAACUAUUAGGGCUUUCGGGGGAUACUGCCAGACUUGGAACCGGGAGAGGUAAGAGGUACUACAGGGGUAGGAGUGAAAUCUUGUAAUCCCUGUGGGACCACCUGUGGCGAAGGCGUCUUACCAGAACGGGUUCGACGGUGAGGGACGAAAGCUGGGGGCACGAACCGGAUUAGAUACCCGGGUAGUCCCAGCCGUAAACGAUGCUCGCUAGGUGUCAGGCAUGGCGCGACCGUGUCUGGUGCCGCAGGGAAGCCGUGAAGCGAGCCACCUGGGAAGUACGGCCGCAAGGCUGAAACUUAAAGGAAUUGGCGGGGGAGCACAACAACGGGUGGAAGCCUGCGGUUUAAUUGGACUCAACGCCGGACAACUCACCGGGGGCGACAGCAAUAUGUAGGCCAAGCUGAAGACUUUGCCUGAAUCGCUGAGGAGUGGUGCAUGG